rnacentral:piRNA from 1 species
GGCAGCUGGUGAUCGUUGGUCCCGG